rnacentral:rRNA from 1 species
GGGCGCAAGCCUGAUGCAGCGACGCCGCGUGAGGGAUGACGGCCUUCGGGUUGUAAACCUCUUUCGCCAGGGACGAAGCGCAAGAAAACGGUACCUGGAGAAGAAGCACCGGCCAACUACGUGCCAGCAGCCGCGGUAAUACGUAGGGUGCGAGCGUUGUCCGGAAUUACUGGGCGUAAAGAGCUCGUAGGUGGUUUGUCGCGUUGUUCGUGAAAACUCACAGCUUAACUGUGGGCGUGCGGGCGAUACGGGCAGACUGGAGUACUGCAGGGGAGACUGGAAUUCCUGGUGUAGCGGUGGAAUGCGCAGAUAUCAGGAGGAACACCGGUGGCGAAGGCGGGUCUCUGGGCAGUAACUGACGCUGAGGAGCGAAAGCGUGGGGAGCGAACAGGAUUAGAUACCCUGGUAGUCCACGCCGUAAACGGUGGGUACUAGGUGUGGGUUUCCUUCCUUGGGAUCCGUGCCGUAGCUAACGCAUUAAGUACCCCGCCUGGG